UGUUCUGUGGCGGAGUUGGUUAACGCGCCCCGUCUAGCGAACUUGGGGAGACGUGGGUUCAAACCCCACCAGAACUA
rnacentral:tRNA from 1 species